rnacentral:rRNA from 1 species
UGGGGAAUUUUGGACAAUGGGGGAAACCCUGAUCCAGCCAUCCCGCGUGUGCGAUGAAGGCCUUCGGGUUGUAAAGCACUUUUGGCAGGAAAGAAACGUCGCGGGUUAAUACCCCGCGAAACUGACGGUACCUGCAGAAUAAGCACCGGCUAACUACGUGCCAGCAGCCGCGGUAAUACGUAGGGUGCAAGCGUUAAUCGGAAUUACUGGGCGUAAAGCGUGCGCAGGCGGUUCGGAAAGAAAGAUGUGAAAUCCCAGAGCUUAACUUUGGGAACUGCAUUUUUAACUACCGGGCUAGAGUGUGUCAGAGGGAGGUGGAAUUCCGCGUGUAGCAGUGAAAUGCGUAGAUAUGCGGAGGAACACCGAUGGCGAAGGCAGCCUCCUGGGAUAACACUGACGCUCAUGCACGAAAGCGUGGGGAGCAAACAGGAUUAGAUACCCUGGUAGUCCACGCCCUAAACGAUGUCAACUAGCUGUUGGGGCCUUCGGGCCUUGGUAGCGCAGCUAACGCGUGAAGUUGACCGCCU